GAUGAACGCUGGCGGCGUGCCUAAUACAUGCAAGUCGAGCGAACGGACGAGAAGCUUGCUUCUCUGAUGUUAGCGGCGGACGGGUGAGUAACACGUGGUUAACCUACCUAUAAGACUGGGAUAACUUCGGGAAACCGGAGCUAAUACCGGAUGAUAUUUUGAACUGCAUGGUUCAAAAGUGAAAGACGCUCUUGCUGUCACUUAUAGAUGGAUCCGCGCUGCAUUAGCUAGUUGGUAAGGUAACGGCUUACCAAGGCAACGAUGCAUAGCCGACCUGAGAGGGUGAUCGGCCACACUGGAACUGAGACACGGUCCAGACUCCGACGGGAGGCAGCAGUAGGGAAUCUUACGCGAUGGGCGAGAGCCUGACGGAGCAACGCCGCGUGAGUGAUGAAGGUCUUCGGAUCGUAAAACUCUGUUAUUAGGGAAGUAGAUAUGUGUAAGUAACUGUGCACAUCUUGACGGUACCUAAUCAGAAAGCCACGGCUAACUACGUG
rnacentral:rRNA from 1 species